GACCCCUACGGGAGGCAGCAGUGGGGAAUAUUGCACAAUGGGGGAAACCCUGAUGCAGCGACGCCGCGUGAGUGAGGAAGUAUUUCGGUAUGUAAAGCUCUAUCAGCAGGGAAGAAAAUGACGGUACCUGACUAAGAAGCCCCGGCUAACUACGUGCCAGCAGCCGCGGUAAUACGUAGGGGGCAAGCGUUAUCCGGAUUUAUUGGGUUUAAAGGGUGCGCAGGCGGGCUGUUAAGCCGGCGGUAAAAAUUCAGGGCUCAACCCUGUCGGGCCGUCGGAACUGGCAGCCUU
rnacentral:rRNA from 1 species